rnacentral:rRNA from 1 species
AACAAACGCUGGCGACGUGCCUAACACAUGCAAGUCGUGCGAGAAAGUCCCCUUCGGGGGGCGAGUAGAGCGGCGAAAGGGUGAGUAACACGUGGGUAACCUGCCCUCGGGAUCGGGAUAACGUGCCGAAAGGUGCGCUAAUACCGGAUAAGACCACGCGGACGAUGUCCGAGCGGUCAAAGAUGGCCUCUCGACGAAGCUAUUACCUGGGGAUGGGCCCGCGGCCUAUUAGCUUGUUGGUAGGGUAACGGCCUACCAAGGCUCUGAUGGGUAGCCGGCCGGAGAGGGUGGACGGCCACACUGGAACUGAGACACGGUCCAGACUCCUACGGGAAGCAGCAGUGGGGAAUUUUGCGCAAUGGGGGAAACCCUGACGCAGCAACGCCGCGUGAGUGAUGAAGGCCUUCGGGUCGUAAAGCUCUUUUGGAGGGAAAGAAAUGUGUCGUGGCCAACAUCCACGGCAUUUGACGGUACCCUCAGAAAAAGUUCCGGCUAACUCCGUGCCAGCAGCAGCCGCAGUAA